CACCUCGCGCUCCUCUAGUCAAUUCCUUCCCCCGUUCUUAGGCACUUCGUGCUGUAACUGACGCCGGAUCUCCAGCCUCGCCCGCCGCCCUGGUGGCUCUACCCCUUUACAUAUAAGCAUCUUCCUAGACCACUCCCUCCAUGCUCGGCCUCGCCUCGGCUGCGAUUCGGACUGCGCUCUGGCCAGCCAUGGUUCGCCGGUAAACUCCUCCAGUGCCGGCCAUGCUCGCCCUCCUCGCCGAGAUGUUCCGCACCGUGUGCGGUCGAACGCCGCCACCUUCACCACUGUCAUGCACCGGCUCGCGCGGGGAAAAGCAAUGUGGGUUUGCCGCCAUCGGCAAACUGCGAAAUCACUCGCGCGGGGUCCUUGAACACCGACCUGGGAGCCUUGUCAAGAUGCGGGGAGGGUCUCCUUGGGCUUCCUGGACUGGAUUGGAGGCUCGGGGCUUCGAAAUUUCUCGUCGUCGACCUUCUUGCCGCCGUAGUGUCGCUCGCGCCGUGGGCCGUCCUCGAACCCGCCUUCUCCCUCGGUGAGAACCACCUCCCUCGCCACAAUGUUGUUCCCUGUCCCUAUUACGCCUAUUAGCGCUCGAUUCGGUGCAUGGGGAACCCUCAGGACGCCUCUCCGGUGGCGCUCCGUGCGGGAAGUCUAGCGCUGCCGCUGUUGGCCGGGGAAAGAAGAAGGGGGUUUCCGGUCCGUCCGUCCGGAUAUGGACAGGGUAGAUUAGAUGCCGCUUAACUCUUCACGUGAUUAGAUCGUUGCCAUCGGUCGCUCAAUCGACGGUCAGCGCUGGAUCUAGAUCUCAUUAAAUCCCUGCGCUCGGUUCGGGAUCCAGCGGUUAAUAAUGUGUAACGGUUCAUCCAUGACAGGAUCUAAUUCUGGCCGCUAGAUUAAGAUCUGACGACCAAAAUGGCGCCAUACCUCUUCGCUGUGCGCUAUUUUCAUAUGAGUCCCUGCAUUCCUGUUAAAUCAACCCGCGAUCCUGGCAGGAGUUUUCCGAGUCUUAGGAACAUUUGUGCUGUAGUCCCUGGCUUUUCCAGAAUUUGGCGCCCAGUCGAGGGAAUUAGAAAUUCAGUAUAAGUGAUUAGAAAAUGGUUUUUAAUGUGAAAAUAAAUGCUGGAAUAUGUUUAAUUCGUAGAAAAUUCAUAUGAUGCCCAAAUUAGUUCAUUCCAAUUUCUAUAAUUUUAUAAUAUUAUUGUUUAUCACAUAUUACCCCUAUUUUUGGCAUGAAAGUCACAUUAAAAUUUAUAUUCUAUUUAAUCUUGUACAAAACACAUGGAAUCUUUAGAAAUUCAUAACUUAAAAUCUAUAACUCCGAUUUGAUCCAUUCAAGUUGUGUUAGUCUCGUAUAAAUAUUUACUAUACAAUAAUAACAUUUAUUGUAUCAUGUUUCAUUCUUUUAUGACUAGACUUUUAUUUAACUUAUGUUGGUUAGUCUAGUUAACCUGCUUACCAUUAUAAUCUACUAAAAUCGGAUCUAUGGUCAAUUUAUAAUUUAGAUUACAGUUGAAUUAAUUACUACUUUAGGUUAUAUUUUCUCUAGAAUUAUAAAAUAAACAUAGAACCUGGUGUUAAUCAUUUAAUCACAUCAUAACUUAAUGACCACGACUCCGAUCUUAGUAGUUCUCGAACCCGCGAUCUCAUAGCGACGCGUAGAUCAUUAUUAUGCAGUUUGUAUUUAUUUUUGGUGUGAUGUUAAUUUUGUCUAUACCAUGUUUGCUUGUAUUGCUACGACUAGCAGUGAAGUCACGAGGAUUUGAAGAAUCAUCCUGGUAACUGGAAUCUCAAGUGACAGGCAAGUUGUGCCCUUGAUCCACUUUUGUUACCCAAUAAUAUUCUUUAGUAUCACUAUGCAAUGCAUAGGGUAAUUUUGAUGGGACCCAAUAGGUCACCCUAGACUGUUUAUCCUUUUACCUUGUUUAUCCCUGAAUCAUUUGGGUAGUUAUGCUAUUGCUUUACACGGUUUCUGGGUUAAUAUUUCAUUACAUCCAUGUUCCAAUUAUUUCGUUAUGUUAUUUAUCUUCAUGAUAAGAUCAUUAUGUUAAUUUGGAACAUGGAGCGACCACCCGGGAAAACAGUGCUACCACAAGGGUUUAAUGGGACGCCCUUGGCUGAUUAACUAGGAAAGCUAGUGGAGGUCUUCCUUACCCGAAAGGGGCAAGGGCAGUAGGGGAGUGGUCAGUGUAAGGAGGUCCUUGGGUUGAUUUUGCUGCGAUGGCGGUCAGGCGAGGGAUUCCUGCACUGGAGCUUCCUAUAAACUGUAGCGGGAUUUCUAAAGCUAGUGGAACUUUGUAAAGGCCUCGUAGUGUUACCCUGCCUCGCUUCCUUGGUAGAGGUGUAUGGGAUUCAUGACCCUUUGGCAGAUGGGUAACACGGCUUGUGGGUAAAGAUGCGCAACCUCUGCAGAGUGUAAAACUAGUAUACUAGCCGUGCUCACGGUCAUGAGCGGCUCGGACCCUCACAUGAUUAAAUUAUGGAACCUAAACUCAAUUUGUCAUUUGCAUCUGCAUGGGAUUAUUUAUUAAUUUUGUUCUAUUAUUUAUUAUGGUUUGGUAUUUACUUACACUUAGUAACUGCUAAUAAAAUUUUGACCAACUUAUAAAAGCAAUGCUCAGCUUCAAACUUUAUUUGUUGAUCAGCCUUACACUUCACAUGAACUCCCACCUUUUGUGAGUUCAUGUCACAUUAUUCCCCACAACUUGUUGAGCGAUGAACAUGUGUGAGCUCACUCUUGCUGUCUCACACCCACCCCAUAGGUCAAGGACAGGUACUACAGAAUGAAGCGCAUGGUGGAUGAUGCGCUGUGUUCGUGAGAGGUCUAGGUCGUCGUCUCCCAGUCGACUUUCUGGCGCCAAGGAUAUUUUAGAUCCUACUAUAUUUAUCUUUUAUUUUGUAAGUCUUCCGCUAUAUAAUAAGUACUCUGAUUAUUGCGACAUUUAUCUCUAUACACUCUGUGAUUAUAUAUGUUGUCUUCUUUGGCGCAUGUAUGAGAUGCACUCGGCUUUGUCCUUUAAACCCGGGUGUUACACAGCGGCUCAACUGUGUUCCCUCCAAUCGCCAUGCAGCUAGCCACUAUCGGGUACUUGUGAACCAGAUACCCGAAGUAGACCCAUGACCUCCUUCCGGCCCAUUUGUCGAGCAACCCUGCGCCGAGGAGCGGACGACCAGGUCCUUUGCCGAGCAAGCCUGUGAGGCGGAGCGGAUGACCAGGUCCUUUGCCGAGCAAGCCUAUGAGGCGAAGCGACCGACCAAAUCCCUGCUGAGCAAGCCUGCAAGGUGGAGUGGGCAACUAAGUCUCCGAUGAGCAAGCCUGUGAGAUGGACCGGCCGACCAAGUCCCCAUCGAGCAAGCCUAUGAGGUGGAGGCCCCAGUCCAAUGCUACUAACCCAUGUCAACUACGAUAGGACGUAUCAUCACCAAACCACGUCCAUACAUAUGUGCAGCACCCUAAAGGGUAGGCCUAGGAAAAAUAAAUUGAAACCGAAAAAUUGAACCUAAUUAACCUGAAUCGAAAUCAAAAUAACCAAAACCAAAUUAACACUUGUAAAUUUUGGUUCCAUGUUUUAGAAAACCAAAAUAACUGAGAUAAUUUCGGUUCUAAGCAUGAGAAAACCAAAUUAACCGAAAAAACUAAAAUAUAAUAGAAUCACAAUCGACCAAUAGAAUUUUAGGCAUAUCUCAAUAUAACCUUCCCGAAUCCUAAGUAUAUAAGCACACAACCUCUCCAAAUUAAUCCAUCUCCAACUCCAAUCCUCCAUCCGGGCAUCUAAUUACUUUUGCUAAACUUUAAAAUUGUGUUGUUUUGUUAUUUUUGCUAAACUUCACUCUAUUUGGCGAGGAACUGAAACCGAAACCGAACUGAAAGAACCGAAAACAUUUUUUUGGUUACGCUUGUCCUGAAUACGUAUUUCGGUUCUAGUUUUCUCAGAAACAAAUUUUCUGAAAAAACCAAGGAAACAAACCGAACGGAACCAAAGAACCGAAUGCUCAGGCCCACUAAAUGAGCACCAGGAGGUCACCAUCAACACCCCUGUACGCCCCCACGAAAGGUCUCAGGCAUAUCCCCACUACCAUAUGGGGCUAGUUAGUGGCAAACCUAGAAUUUAGAGACAGUCUACGCGAGAUUACCCUAUGAUCCUUCAUGCAUGUGCCUUUGCCCUGUACAUGUUAUGCUGCUUUCUUGCUUCUACAUAUCAUGUUUGCAUCUAUAUAUUAGAAUCGGUGAGGCAGCCGAGACCAUCGCCUGAGGUGCCUAGGUUUUGGGUUCGAUUCUGGGGUCAGUCAACCUUAGUCGUGAGAGGACCUCAACAUCAGGGUCUCUAUAGUGAGCCGUGUAUCGGGAAAGAUGGGACAGUGCACCAUAUCGAGUGUAUGCCUAUACACACUGGCAGGUGACGCAUGGCUUAUGACGACAGGCAAAGUAGCGCCACACACGAUCGCACCAUGAGACUGACUCGCUGAAUUUGCUACCCACUACUACAAAGACAUUAGCAAUGGGCUCGCUAUAGGGACCUGUAUGACGGACAAGCAAGGCGGUAUGCCAUGUCGGGAGUAAGGCUACACAUGACCCUAAGGACAACCUCAGAGAUACCAUGUCAACCCAGGCAGUAGAUCUCUCUCUCUCUCUAGUAGAAAACAGAUCUCCUCUGUAGGGUUCUCCUCGUAGCUAUAAAAGAGAAGGUCCCCUUCCUCUUAUACACACGCACAAGUUGUAACACAGUUCUCAAUCAAUACUAUGAUCAACACUACACUAGACUAGAGCGCAAGCCUGAACUAGUAUAACUCCUUGUCUCAGACCACCUCUUUUGGAAUCCUAGAGAUUCAUCAUUCGGAGUGAGUCCGCGCUAGCAUCCCCACCGAACACAAAUUCUAUUGUCCCUUGGUUUCCAAAACAACGACAGCCACUCUCCCUAAAAAUGGACGCAUACAUGUAUGAUUUAAUGUUCCACUUAAAAAUAACAUAUACUAAACUAAGUACCAAAAUUGAAAAUCAAUUUCACCAUUGCAUUUGUCACGAUGAAAGCUUCAAAACUAGAUCUCACUUACAUAUUUAUCUCAAUGUUUUAUCAAUGUUAGUGAUUGUAGUUAUCAGUGUCAAUCAUUCCAUAAAUACUCGGUCAUUCCAUCUUGUAGCCCUAGUCAUUCAUGAGAAUUACUGAGAUAACAAUCAUUUAGUGAGUCAGUCAUUCUACAAAUAACGGGCACUACAAAAAAGUAAGUGAACAAACUCAAUCAUUCUAGAAUACUCAGUCACCCACCUUUUUAGCCUUAGUCAUUCAUGAGAACAACUGAGAUAAGAGUCAUUAAGUGCGUUAGUCAUUUUAAAAAAUAGGCAUUACAUGAAAUAAAGUGAACAAACUCAAUCAUUCUAUAAAUAGCUAGUCAUUUCAUCUUUUAACAUCUGUCAUUCAUGAGAAUGACUGAGAUAUGAGUCAUUUAGUGAGAUGAUUAUUCAAUAAAAAACCAGCUUUAUAUGAAAAGUAGUGAACAAACUCAGUCGUUCUAUUAAUACUUAGUCAUUCCAUGUUUUAGCCUCAGUCAUUCGACUGAGAAAAAUCAUUUUAGUAGAUCAGUCAUUCAAAAAAUAUGCAUUACAAGAGAGUGAACAAACUCAGUCAUUCUAUAACAACUCAGUGAUUCCAUUUUUUUAAAUUAUAGGCGGCUGGACAGUCGAGGAGCACAAGGUAAGAGGUAAGAGAAAUGGGCUGAGGAGGCAUCCAGUUUCGUGUAUGCGUAAAGUGGAUUUGCCCUCGUCGUUAGUUUGUGUAUAUUAAAGGCAUCCAGUUUAGGAACUAAGAUGUUUGUUGUAGUAUAUAUUGCAACUUCUACUUUUUAUGAAAAAAUAAAAGAUGAUUUCAAGGACGUGGACUCUAUUGCGAGAAGCUUUGACUAUAUAGGGUCGGACGUAUAAGUUUUGCAGGAAUAAAUGCACAAAAAGUGACUAGGAGCAUGAUGUAAGCUGCACAAUUCGAGCAAGAAGCCAUCACAAGCUGACGAUGAACAAGAGGAGACGCGCGAAUGCGCGAUGUAAAUCUCGUUCAAGCGGGAUGCCACUGCCAUGAGCGAAGUGCCCAGUUUUCCUUGUCGUUCUCGAGAGAAUUUUUCGUGCAAUAAGACAUGAACCAACUCAUCAACCAAUUUGGUGAGAUGUGAUAAAAGCCUAAAUCCUUAAUUUAUGAGUAAUUGUAUUACUUAUACUAUGCAAGGGUACCAAAUUCCUCACCUAAAUAACCAGACAUCUUUCUAUUACAGUAGAAGAUCAAUCUAGGCCCUUGAUUAUUUAGCAUGAUAUAUUAGUUAAACAGGGU
rnacentral:lncRNA from 1 species